AGGGGGAUGAAGCGAAACUGGGCGGAACUGGGCCAGUGGGUCUCCGGCAGCCAUCUGCGAUUUGCUGCGAUGGCUCCGGUGCACAGUUCGCGUCGCCUCGGCACUGCAAUUUCGCGGUUUUCGCGAGUCGAAUCUCGUCAUCGUGCCUCGUCCAUCAUCAGUGCGAGCGAUACUCGAAUGCGAUGUACGCGAAGUGCGCGAAAAAAUCGGUGAAUCGAAAGCGAGAAUCACAUAUCAAGUGCGAGUGUCAGUGUCGAAAUCAUCGAGCGAAGAAAUCAUCGGGCGUCGCGAUUAAAUCUGUGUUAAAUAAAAUUGUUUCAUUGUAUUUUUAGCACUUAUGUACGCGUAGUACGCUAGUGUUACGUUAUUCUGAUUAUUUCUUGGAUCAUGCACGACUGACCAACGUCAAUCUACGAACGCGAACUUCGUUCUAUUUAAUGACUAUCGUAACGGUUGAUUACGGCAGUGAAACUGCAAUCAGCUUCAAUCAGCAGUUGUUUUGCAAAGAAAAGAGGAAAAAAUAGAACAAGAAAAACAACUCGUUCUUGACUUACUGCAGUCUCAAUGUCUGCAUGAUAAUUUUCUUAUUCGCAAUGUAUUCUUUCGGAAUAACUGCAGUAAUCUUUCUUUGCAAUCUUUGUUAGUACGCUUUUUCUUCCCUGUUUGUUUCGUUACGUGUUUUCCGCUUUACGUAGCAUUUUUUAUUCCGCCAGUCGUUUUCGCUUUGCGUCGUAAUUAACUCCUGAGAGAGACUGCCUGUUCCAGACAGCUAAUAAGACUUAUCCGACCCUUCGUCUGUACCUGUUUUUAAGUCGACACUUUUAGCAGCAUUACGCAAAAAUAAAUAUCUGCAAUCGUAUUCUCAUUUUGUAGUUGCUCUCGUACUCAUAAUCAUAUUAUAAUAUUCGCAGAAAAUAAAUUGCACCACAAUUAUAAAUAAAGAUAUUUUACGUAUUAUUUAAUUUCGUCUUUCAUUGAUAUUCAUUCUGCCUGAAUUAUUUUCCCUCAAUUAAGCUUUAGUUCCCAUUCCAGUGAGUCUUUAAGAUUCUAAAGCUAAAGGAGAGAAGAAAUAUUAUGGAAAGUGAUACAUAAAUGACAAUGGUGAUAUCCAGUUGUAAUUGAACAGUGUUUCUCAUUAUGAUUCAAGAAAUUUCCUUCGGUGAAAUUAGAAAAAGCAGUGAAAUAUUCUUGGAAAUCUUGUGUGGAAACGCGAUCGAUAAUCCCAGAUUUCGAUCAAAUACCUGUCAGAUAAGUUUCAUGAUAUUUAACAUCUUUGCAGAUAACAUCUUUACAUGUACCCAUCUCUCCUGCCAAAAAGAAAUAUUGAAAGUAGCUUCCAGUUAUAUCACACGUUUGUUUUACACUUAAUUACGAUCACAUAUACAUGUACAUAUACACACCGUUACAUUUGUUGAAGAUAAGCGCUAAUAUCGCGAAACAAGGAAGCAAUUAACGCGUAACAAGUAACCGGAUGUGCGUAAUCAACUACGACGAGCGUUUCUCUCGAUUUUCAUACGAUUUUCAAAUAAAGAAAGAAAAUUUCUUGCUUCCCACAUUUCAUAAAAAUUGAAAUUAAAAAUACGAUAUUUCGAACUUGUUUGUCAAUUUUACUUGUUUUUUUUACCAUCAUCACUCAUUAGGUGAACGAAAAAUUAUACAAUGACGUCUCUCUUUCACCAACUGACAUAACUAAAUGAAAAUAAAAAUAAAGUCUCAAGAAUUCAACGUAAUAGCGACGUUUAACCGCGUUUUGUCUCGCUUGCCGACGUUUUUCGCUAAAUUUCGCAUUCGCCUCGUGUCGUGGUCACGGAGAUGCCUUUAUCCGCGCGAGAUACGCCCUUAUCAGAUCGGUAGGGGCCCGCACGAGUCGCAUUUCCACGCGUGUAAUCUUUGUCUCGGUGACCUGCGACCCGCCGUCACGCGCCGCUGCCAACGCGCCCGCAGAAAUGUUGCACAAGAUCUACGCGGCGUAUCUGCAUCUGCGGCAUAAUGGGCGCGACCGCAAUGUCUGUUACAUUCCGCAGGUACACAAGCCGCAUUUCGGGAAGACACGACUGCGAAUAAAUCAACGUAGCAGUCGGGCGUUGCGCAAACGUGUUAUUUUAAUGUCCGUUCAGCAAGGCUGCGUAAUUAUAACGUAACAGUUUCUCUCUCGCACAAGCUAUUUCUUUUUAUUUUAUUUCCCGUACGAGCAACAUGAUAAAUUAAUGUAUUAAUAUAUAAUAAUAAUGAUACUUUUGUCAUGUGGGAAUAAUGUGUAAAAUUAUUUUAAUAAUCAGAGAGAGAUUGGAAAAUGGAAAUUAAAUCUAGAAAAUUUCCUCUGGAAUUCUGCCCAUUAUUCAUUCAAUUCCGUUCAUUACAAAAGUUAUCUCCGAGAAAUGGGAUAUUGGCUGCCGGAGUGAUUUAUUAUAUUCUGUCACUCCGCGGAAUCAGAAAUAUGUGUACGCAUUGGUAGCUGAACGGGCAAACAGCGACGUUAAUACGCAUUCCCAAGAGGAGUGUUGUUCCGCCGGUGCAAUAAAAUAUCGCGGAGCGACGGGGAUUAUUAUACGCGUAAUUUAUACCACACCGUGCACUCCUUGCAUUCCUUCGUGCAGCAUUGCAACUGUUAUAACUCGUUACCGGCGCGAUUUCUCUCCGAGCGGAUCGCGCGCGCGUCCGUUCGACAAUAAAUCCUUAACGAACGCUACACUGUGAUAACACGACGCUUUAUCUAAUCGCCCAUUUUUUUUCGCCAGGCGUAAACGCGCCUAAUCCGCUCAAAAAAAACAGCUUGUCAGCGCGAGCACGAGCUGUAUGCACCCGGUGCAUGCGCUCGUUUGAACUCGCUCGAUCGUUCUUUCGUUCGAACGAUCGAACACCGUCAUCCCUGUCGUCCACCUCGCUAUCGCCCCUGAUAAACGCACGUGUUGGCUGUCCGAUUUUGUUGCCCUCCUUUGCGAAACUCGCUGCAACUCGCUCGAGAGGUGUCUGAGGUCGCGGGCCCAUUCAGCGCCUACGCCUGUCCGCGAAGCUGAUACGAAGCGUGCUACGCGUGGUCUUCAUGGUCGAUCGAGUCGAAUCGACAAGGCGACAUCGCCAACACUUUGUGGCAGCGUCGCAGCCAGAAGUCUCCCGCUUAUCUCGAUCAAAAGCCAACGCUGACAUUAUACGGCUGCAGCAAUGCAUUACAAUUUAUUGAGUGUAUGCAAAAGUCACUUUUUGCACAUUUCUCACAAACCUCUGCCAAUGCCAAAAAACGUGAGAAAGCGAGAAUUUAUUUAAAAUUUAAAUAAUAAUAGAUAAAAUUUAAAUUUAAAUAAUUUUCAGAAUGUUGAAAAAAAAGACCAAAACAUUUGCAUGUACCUAAUACCCGUUGCACACAGCGACGCCGAUAUCUCGAUAUCUCGGUAUCAAUUAGUCGCGCGUGUUAAUGCGAUAACGCGCUCGGCCCGAGCGCAUUAAAUCCGCGCGAGCGGAGUUGUUAUUCUUGAUCGUUAGAUCCAACGUCAUUGCUAAUGUGUGCCUUGCAAGUAUCGGCGAAGAUAAUCGCAGAUUGUGCGGCACGCAACGUUGACACUCGCGCGAGAUGCGAUUCACGACAGCGAUUAUCGAUCGCGAACACCAUGGGGAAUCCCCUCGUUCCAACGAGAGCUAAUGCAUCAAUUUUCACGUGACGAUUCGAACGUCGCUUCAGGCCUUAAGGGAUGAAGAUACGAGAUGGAGAAAGGAGUAACGGGUCUCUCGCCCCUUGCUCCGUCGCGUAGCGACUAUACUUCGAGAGUCCUCUGAGAGCUGAUGGAACACAUGUAGCAUUAUGGAAAUCGCGACGAGGAGCGCGUAAUGAUAAUCCUAUGCGAAUCUACAUAGAAGCGCGCGAUCGCGAUACGCGCGCAGGAAAAUGUCUUCUCGAGCGAGGCUCUCUAAUAUCCUCUCGUCGAGCACGGAGGAAAUAACUCGAAGGGCGUGUUUGCACAUCGAUUGUGAACUAUAUAAUAAUCGCUCGUGGGUGGGAGCGGUGGCAGGCCUAUGCCAGGGAGCAGCACGACGAAGGUCAGACUCGAAUUGCGUCUCGACGGUGCAGCCAGCUGCAGCGUCUAUAUACGUCGGGAAUCGGCGAGAGAGGACGAGAAGGAAGAGAGAAUGGAAAGAAGGAGGCCGUCUGCAGCACAAGACGAGACGUACUGCAAUGCGCGGAGGGAGGCGGGGAGAAUCUCUUAUAUCGCGUUUAUACGGGAGGGAAACGAAAAAAAGAGCGAGACGAUGUGUCAAACGCGAGUGAACGUUGAAAUGAAUUGUCGUUGCGAACGUGCACCGUAACGUAAUUCGUGCAUUUGCGAAAAAGGAGUAUUAAUUGAAGAAUUCUUCCCUACGCCGCAUCAUGUAACAGAAAUCCAUUAUUUAAAUACGAAAGGAUUCAAUUUGUUUUUCUCAUUUCCUCAAAUAAAAAUUCUCGCGAAUAUUUACGAGUUCUCUUUCUCGCGAGAAUCGGAGCAAAAAUCAAACGAAAAAACAUAAAAAAAGAAACUCGAGGAUGAAAUAAGAAGAAAGAGGGAAGAAGGAAAGCAAGGAAAUAAUAUCGAUAAAAUCUCCUAUAAAAAAUACGGGACGUUUCUGGUAUAAGUGAUAUCGGCAAAUCCGGCCGUUCUUUUUCCAUCCUUCCCUUCCCCCUGGAUCGGGAAGCUUUAAUAGUGGGUGUCCUAAUCGCGAGUGACAGAAUCUCGAACACGUUCUCGUCCCGGCGGCCGCGUGUGACAUCCGCGUCCCAGCACACAAAUGUCAAAAGAUAAGAACGCGGUCGGAAGAAAUUAUAGUGUUUGCGCUAGGUAUCGACUGUCACAGUCCCCUUUACUACGAAAAAGGAAACCAUUUAGACGUCGCUCGCAGCAGCCAUCGAAUCUCGUCUAUAUGCGACGACGCGAUUCCUUCCGCCGACAAACGAUCGAUAAGUCGGAGGAACCGGGAACAAAGAGCGUCGCGAGCACGAAGAAUUUCUCGGUUAUUUAUGUGCGGAUGCGUUCGUCAUACUUUCAGAAAUAAUGUAAAAGUCGAUAGUCAGUUGCCACGCUUUGCUUUUAUUUGUUCAUUAAUCUCAUUUCAUGUUAAUUUUGCAACUUUUUACGUUUUGUUCCCAGAUUUAUUUUACAUAUUUUAAUAUCAUAAAUAUAUUUUAGAUAUUUUUGAUUCUAGAAUUAUAAAUAGAUCGAAUAAAAAAAAUAUACAUGUGAGAAAAGUAAAAUCUGUCGGCUUAAAGCGAGACUUUUCGUCGACGUGCAUCAAUCAAUGAAAACGCCGGGCUGUUAACGGAGUUGCUUAUGUACCGUUGCAAUAACACAGAUUUCGUCGGUGUUUGCGACGGCGGCUCUGCGAGACGGCUAGAUAUACCUGGCAUUAGCAACAAUUUCCGUACAGUUAUGCAGCGAAUUUAUACGGCGAUUGCUCGGAUAAUAAGAGCCGCUGUCGUAUUCUCUAUCAUAAAUAUGUUAGACGCGAGGCGCAUUCGUGACAAGAACUGGACGACAGGCCUUACGCGGGAUCGCGCUCAGCUUCUGCGAGAACAGAUGGCACAAACGGAACGCGUUUCUCACGGAAACGGAUCGCUUUUUUAGAUUCGCCUCCUUGAAUAGCGGGAGACACUUGCACGCGUUCGCGUUUCAUUCUCACGCAGUUAAUGGACGAUGAUAUGAGUUACGUGUCAUCUGAAAAUUUCGAGAAAACGCACGAUUGUUUGAUCAUCGCAAUCUUAAAGCAAGGAUCUAUUUCUUUGAGCAAUGCGUUGCAAAAUCACCAGAUGAAAGAUUGAAAGAUUACGAAAAUAUUCAAGUGUUAUGUCAAACAUCGUCGAGAUUGAUUCUUAUCUUGUUUUGAUGAAUACACAUCGCUAAAUUAAUAGAAUACUGUAUAGUAUUAAAUUGUAUGGAGUAUUGUAUAAAUCACGGGCGAUAUUUUGGAGACGAGAGAGAGGUGAGACUCGUUUCGAAACGGAGAUGAGACACGCGCACCCUUUCGUACGCUCCGGAGUCCUUGAAAUUCAUUGAAAUGCGUCCGGUGGAAGUGGCCGGAGGUCGUCUAUUUUUUUCUGCUCCUAUAAAACGAUCGUCUCUGUGCCCGGUGAUGAAGUACUGUCCCGUUUUAUUACGCAGUUCGGCCGGCGCGACGUUUUGGAUCAUGAAGAGCGACCCAAAAAAAAGCGAUCAGUACAGUCGAACCGUCUGUCUCAGUCUUCUCUCUUUUUUCUCUCCCUCUAUCUUUUCUAUCUCCUUCUCUCUUUUUAUCACGUACGAUUCGCAAGAUCUUGUUCUUGCGACUCGCAGUUACAUAAAAUGAUCCAUAGAUGGAAACUCGCGUCGGUCGUCGCCGCUCGGGAUUCCUCUGCGUGACGCACCGAAUUUGGAACUUGGAUUACGUUUAUGUUAUCGCUCCCUCGGGAGUGACAGAUUUUCAUCUUUCUCCCACUUGUACGUCAUCGCAAUUGACACACAAUUAAAGCAUAGUCACGUAAUUAAAAGUAUUCUUAUUAUAAAUCUUCGCAAUCUAUUUAUCUCCUUUUUUCGAAACGUGCCUCCACUGUCAAAGAUUCCCACAGAAACCAUCAGCAUUAUAAGCGGCGAGCCAAGGAAAUGAAACUACAAACGCCUGGUUGCGAUCACCAGCGAGCGACUUGAUAUCGCCUAACGGUAAGUGCGGGUCAAACGACCCCGAUUUUUUCCUUAUGCUGCUCGCGACGCAGAUGAACGAAUGAACAAACAGCCUGCUGCACAGAUGUAUCUCUCCGCGGAUCCAGUUUGAGUGAUGAGACUAGACCUUGGCUUCGAUUCAACGCCAAUGACUGGUUUUCACGGUGCUUCGACUGGAUCCUAUCAUCCGCCGAUCGCUGCCGAUCACGAGUGCCAGCGAGAUCGUUCAUCAUAAUGACACCGCCAUAUCAACUAUGGAAAUCGAUCGAUCAGCAGCACAGUCUUCCCGUGACAAGACAGUAAUGAGUUAUCUCGAGGAAAGUAAACGAUUUCAACACUGCGUGCUACGCGCGAAGCGAUACACGCAUCCGAAUGAUGCGCAAGAUUAUUUCAAGUGGGAUCUGCGGUAGGUGGUCCAACCGUUAUUUGCAUUCCGGUCCGGAUGACGGCACCGCCAGCACAAAAAGAAGGGACAUGGCUGAGACUUACAGUCAAAGAAGAACGUGACCAUAAUUAUAGAAAAUUUAUAGAAAGCUAUGAGCACACUUAAUAAUAAUAAUGAUAUAUCAGGAUCUGUAUAGAAUUUUUAAAUAAGUAAAACUUAAUGGUGAUGAAAUAAUUACUGAACAUUUAAAUAAUGAAUAAUAAAAAUACGUGACAAAAUACGCCGUUCCUUGCUAAAAGUUCAACAACAAUUAAAAUUUUCUCCAUAGUACAUCGUAAGAAAGGAUGUUCUUUAUCGGCUCCCAUAAGAAUUUCAGGUCUAUCUUUUACGGACUGACAGUUAUGCCGGUCACGCUCUUGUUUGACUGACGUGCAUAAGAACCGCGCUGAUUUCGCGAGUUCUCAUGCACUCGCAGAGACGGCAUACCCUUUUCGACCAAGAAGGGCACUCCGGCGCACUCCUUCAAGGACGGUGCACGCGAUUCGCUGCACCGUGUAGCUAAUGCCGCUAAUGCGAUUAACGCGCCUUUAUCGUUGGACGACGCGUAUGAUCUCGUAACGAGACGUGUGAGCGAAAUUCUUCAGAAUGGAGGGAACGCUGAAAGGAACGCGGAGGGAACCUCGACCGCUGCUGCGAGUUCUCGUGCGACGAUCACGAAGCUACAAAUUGUAUCGCGUGGGAAUGUUUAGGGUGCACGAUUCACGCUAGCGUGCAAGUUCAAAGUUAAUACAGAUCGAGGGGUCGCAUUGCGAGGAAUAACAUGACGAUGACGAUCGUGAUAGUUUAGAUAGAGGAAGAAUUUGUUGUAUUGUAUGUGUAAAAGUUACGGAGCUUCUUAUAUUAUACGCUUGUUACGUUUAUAUUUAUAACGCGCGUUGGAAUAUAAUUGUGACGGUUUCUUCGCACGCCGGGCGUGAAGAUUCCGUAUAAUUUGUAUAAUUUGUCCACACGCAAAGAGAAAGAGAGAAAGCAAAUUUUUCUCAAAGAUAUCAGCAGUCAUAAAUUAAAAAGAUACUAGUUUCAUCUGAUUAGAAUGCGCUUGUAAUGUAAUCCGAAAAAAUUGCAGGAAAAUAUAAGAAAAUGUGUCUUGUACAUAUUAUAUACAGCGAAUGUUCGUGUCAUAAUCAUGACAUUAAAACAGUGUCUGCACAAAGUGCCAAUCAAUUAUAGUGAUGCAUAAAUUCUAAUUCUAAUUACGCGUACAUGCCAGUCACGCGCGGUGUAAUAUGAUACCCAUCUCAUUCAAUAAUAAUUCUCUUCAUGUACGAUUCCCUGUGAUUCUGCGUAAUGUGUGUGUCAUAUCUAUUCAAAUCUAUCUAUUCAAAUAUCUAUUCGCUAUCGGAAUCACUGAUGUACGGGGAACAACGGUAAUUUGCAACGAUGUGUUCAGAGGCUAGCCGACUCUCGCGUUUUGUCAGGCUUUAAUUUAUUAUACAAAUUUCAAUUUAUUACACAAAUUCUGCGAAGCCUCGAUUGCAUUAUUACGCGAUUAUUGUUCUCCGAAAAGUAUCGGUGAGGAGUACUCGCGCAGAGCUGCAAAGGAACUUUUCCGCGAUAAGUCGCGUUAAAUACGCGAUGUCGCCUCGCGCUGGCAGCAAAACUGUUGAUCAACGUUCCACUUGAACCGCAACUUCCGCAGGAAUUGCGUGCAAUGAAUUUAUAAAUGUCAACGGGACGAAAAUAGACUGCGCGUGCCGAGAUAUAAACGCAGUUACGUAAACGCCGCUCCUGCAGUAGAAGUGAAGAAAGAAGGAAAAAAGACCGCGCAUUUGCGCAAUAAUGAUCCGAUCGCGGCGCAAACCAGAGCGCGCAUUUGCCACCUCUGUGAAGUUGGCCCCCCAACUUUUAAAUUUGAACAAAAUGAGUAGAGUUCUGAUUGCCCCCCGAAGAGUUCUACCGAUUUACCCUUAAUACUCGAUGCGCUCAAGUCGAAAACUAAAAAGUUCUGGCGACUUGCAGUUUCAAAAUUCGAAAAUUUCGGAACUGCGGAAUUAUUAAAAAAAUUUUCGACGUGAGGAACUUAAAAAUUUUCGAACUCUGAAAUUUCGAGUUGUCAGAACUUUUUAGUUUUCGACUUGAGCGCAUCAAGUAUUAAGGGUAAUCGAUAGAACUCUUCGGGGAGCUAGCAGAAUUCUCAACAGAACUGCGGAUUUAUGAACAAAAUUUUUCAUCUCUCAAAUAAACAAUAAAUGUUUUUCGCAAAAUCCGAUAUUUUAUUGAUUUCUUUUAAAAUGGACUGAGAACUCUUCGGGGGGCAAUCAGAACUACUCAUUUUGUUCAAAUUUAAAAGUUGGGGAGCCAACUUCACAGAGGUCACAGGCCCCCGGGUUUGUUUUGGAUUUUAAAACUAGGCCGAUGGGUCGACGGCCUCUUCGACGAAUUCUCGCCUCUUUCCCUCCCUGGAACUCUCCUCGAUUGCCUUUUCUGCCACGUUCUUUCUCCACCUCGCCCCUCUUCUGCCCGGCUUCUUGAUCGCGUCGCGGCUCCUCUACCUCCCGCUCCGCUUGGGUUACGCGAACCCAUAUCGGCUAACUUACGCUACGAGCGAGUGAGCGAGCGGGAUCAGCUUGUUGCGUGACCCACACAAUCGCGCGCGAGGAGAAUGCACGCUUUUGAGAGGCACGCAGGGACGUAGUUUUCGGCUGGUUUCUCGUAGCUUCGUGGACAAAGGCGUUGGGUAUUCUCGGUACGUUUGAUGUUUCCCUCGAAUGGUGAUGGUGGUACCCCGUAUUUCGCCACGGGCGAUGAAUUCUAUUUCCUUUCUACGGGGAACUGGCUGAAGAAAGAGGAUGUACAGUUAUGUGUACAGCGGGGAAUUAAUUGCGGUCGAUAUUUAUGUGAAAGAUGGUAGAAAGAAUACCUGGAUGUUUAAAUGUGGUGUAUACAUUUUUUCAAGUUGCUAGCUUUUGACUGUAUGUGAGUUGAUAUUCGAUCAAUUAAAACGUUACUAAACUUCGAUAAAACUUCGAUAAAACUUUGAUAAAAAGAAACUUAAAUGCAGUGCACGUAUUAAAAACAGACAAACAUGUACCAUCCCACCAAUAAUCCGACAACACGUAUAUGCGAUAAAAUAUAGAUAACAUUUAUAGAUUAAUAUUUAUAGAGGGUUGUCUAUUAAAUAUAGACAACCCUCGCGCAAUCCGCCCCAAACGUAACAAGACGGAUAAAAAAUGAAGACCAAGUUCGCCGCGGCAGUUUCCAGUCCAGCGGCGCAUUAUUCAUUAAGAAUCGAAGUCUCGGGAACGGGGAGCCCGGCUUCCCUCUUUCCGAAUCCGCCCUGGAUCCGUCUUUGUUGGCGAGGCGCGCAUUGCCGAUUUAACGAAACAAUUUGGGUCGCUUCGACAACCCCGUGCGCCAUGUCUUUGUUGUACCAAUAGAACCCCGUUCCCGUGCGAGCCCCUAACGUGGGGCGGCCCUGGCAUCGCGCUAUCGUACCACACGCACACGCACAUCGAUACGUACGAUGCAUUGGCACACAUCGAUACGUACGAUGCAUUGGCACACAUCGCUCGGAGCUGACAUUUAUAAACACUGUGUCGCAGCGAGGUACACAGAGGCUUUCAUUCAACCCGAGCCCGAUCGUGCAUGAGUUGCGCGAGUUAUCGGGAAGCGGGUAGGAAGGGAAGUAGAGGGGUACAAGGGGAUCGCACGCACAAAAAUCGGGCGCACGGAUUUCUCAGAGAUGAAAGCGCCAGCGUGACAGCUGGCGAAAAUUUCCGGGCAUCCCUGAGAGGCAAAGGGUACGAGGAUCAGCUCUGAAUGCUACUAACGAAAAGCAAAAGAAAACAUUUUAGAUACACAUACUUUACAUAUUAAACACACGAAUUCGUAUCGAUCACUUCUGCACUAUCCGCAGACUUGUGUUCCCUUUAAGACGUACAAAGCCAAAAAAACAUGCAAAAAAAUAGUAUCAAUUUAAUUUAGAAAAUGUAAAUGUGGACAGGAAAUGAGAUUGAAAAUGAAAAAUUUAUAUGAAUCGUAAGAAAAUGGAAAAAAAGGAUAUCGAGAGAAAAAGACACUAGUUUAGUCCGAACAGAUGUGAUGUAAUCACGGCUGGCAAGCGGCCUAGAAAUUGCCUCUGAAAUUCCGAGCGACAGAAGACGCCGAAAGACGCGGGCUAGAGUGUAUCCGGCACAGGGAAAAACACCAACACACCAUAGAGAUCUCGAGAGCGAGGCAUUCUUGCGUUGCGAGUGAGUGCUGGCGGAAAAGUGCUCUCCAUUCUUUUUAUUGUUUUUUUUUUAUAACAAUUUUACCGAUCAUCCGCUUGCGCAUCGAGGCGUGUACAGCCUUCGUAUCUUGCACGGCCUCUUCAUGGUCGGCAUGAUCAAACGUUUUCCGCGUAGGACAAAUUGCGACUCGCGGCGGAAGCGGGCGAAGGAGUGUACUUGUGUACACUUCAUUCGGCCUCGCAAGAGCCGAUCUGACGUUGAAACGACGCUUGAUAUCAAUCUGUCAUAAAUUACCCACGGAAAACCAUGAUUAGCGUCGGAUUAAUUAACAUAUACACGCGCGCGUUCCCACGUGCGGAAAGAGAGAGACGGCGAGAUCGAGGAGACGUUGGCAAAUGCACCUCUGUGAAGUUACUUCACACUUCGUUACUUUAAAUGGCAGAACUCUUUCUAAAAUGGACUGAGAACUCUAGAACUCUUCGGGGGGGGGGGGGGGGCAAUAAGAACUCUACUCAUUUUGUUCAAAUUUAAAAGUUGGGGGACCAACUUCACAGAGGUGGCCUGUGACCGGCCGGAGCGGGUCCGGCGAACUGGCCGACUUCGCGCGGAUGAGCGAGUCGAUGGCGAUGGUGCGAAAACGCUUCUGUCCCUUGAGGAACGCUCUCGUCAACCCUCACGGUGGCAGCGCGACCCUUACGCGUUUUACGAGCUCGUAAAACGUCGCGUUUCCUUUAUCUACGUGAGACCGAGGUAAAAACGCGCGAUUGAAAACUCGGUUUUCCCGGCGGGUUAACGAGAGACCCGGAGGUAUCCCGGAAAUGGGAGACAGCGCGUUCGCAUGUGAGCGUUAGCGAGCUCGGCGAUUUUCGCGCAAGAAGCCACCUCGCCGCCGUUCCUCGCCCUUUCUCGAAAUUUUACAACCGCUCGUUUACGCGGGAAAGUUUCGGACGCGAAGGCAUUUAGCGCUGGGAUGUGCCCGGGGAGAAUAGGUCGAAGCGGUUCCUGUGCGGGAGUAAAUUACGUUUUGAAUUAUGACUGAAAGCCGGAAUAGGUCGCGAUAGAAGUUAUCGCACCGUGCGAUGAUCGAUAUCGAUUAAAAGUCGGGAGAGAAAGAGAGUUUAGAAUUUAUGGCUGUUUAAAAAGCUGACGACCGAGACGAUUGCUGCGUGAGUGUUCUAAUGUUAGACGUUGAUGUCGAUCUGGAGAAAUUCACUCGGCCAGCUGUGUAAAUUUUGCGUUACGCUCCGGCCAAGUGUGCCAUUUUGCAGCCGAUGCGGCGAAACCGGCGUAUUCUUCCAUCAGCCGUUCGCCAUAAAGCGAGAAUAAUGCUAUAACGCCGUAAUUUAUGGCGCCGUCGUCUUCGCUGGUAAAAAAAAGAAAAGAAAAGAAAAAAAGAGAAAGAAAGAAAGACUCGGAAACGGUAUACGUACGCACAUUCGUACAUGCAAAACGAGUACAUGCCAAAUUCUGCUUCGCGGAGUUGAGUCGAUUCAUUCGAUGCACAUAUGAAUCUUUCAGAAAUUAUAAAUUAUAACUAGUCAAGUCAAAUUUCUCGUUUUUAGUUAUAAUACAUUAUUGAUACAGUAUCGUUCAAUUCAUUCAAAACUGAACGAUAUAAUUCCUCCGUGUCAUUGAAGAAGCAUAUCUUUUCGCGAAAUCGCGUAAUUGCUUGUACGGCCCGAUCGUUUCACGAGGAACAAAAGGACUCGUCAAAUGCUGCAUCACGAAUAUCCGUUGCCAACGCAUCGAACGGCAUUCACGCACGCGAUUGCAGGUUGCUCCAGCGAGCGAGGAAACGUGACACCGGGAACAUCACAAUAAAAUCGCCGUUUCCGCACAAAAAACGGAAGUACUCACGAAAAAUGAUCGAUGGUUCCGGGGACCGACCCGCGGGAAGAAAUGAUCGGUUUCGCGUCGAUGGGCUCUUCACCCUCUUCCCCUGCGCGUUCGCGAAUUGCCGCACGAAAUCACCAACAUCACGAAAUUGUUAUGUGCAUAUAUAUAUAUAUAUAUAUAUAUAUAUAUAUUUAUAUAUAUGCACUGAUUUCCAGGAAUCUCUCGUCACUAAUUCAAUGUUCGAAGAAUGCCGCACGCGUGGCGUGACGUCUACUCACGAUUUCAUGACGACGACGUUUCGGAAACUCGGAUUUCCGCCCCGAUAUGGGAUAUAUAGGGUUGCUGGAUGUACAGAGCUUCUCGCGAUCGAUCGCGUGAUGUGAAAUUAUGCCAUCGCGAGGAACGUCGAGCAACGUCGCCAAAGUUCCUCCAAACUCUCCGACGUCAUAAAUUCGAUAUUCAUAAAUUUGUAUUCCGAUUACGUCGUCAGUGCAGUUCUGUAGUUCUGUCUCGCGUUAAAUUUCAUCUGCACGUUGGAUUGCUUAAUUCGACUGGAUCGCGUUCUCUUUCGGCGGCUUUGGAGGCUACUUGAUAUCUCCAUUUGAUUCGGGAAUAAAUGUAGCAUAAUAAAACCUUCACGGUGUUGUGAUAGAUCGAUAGUAAUUUGAUGAGAUGAUAAUGACGGUCAUUGAAUUCACAGAUAGCUAUCAUGAAACAUUCGCGUGAAUAGUUAACAGUCAAGUUGCUUCUCGCAUUAAGCGGAUCGAUGAGAGCUAAUCAAUUAUUUCUUGCAUUAAAUUGAAUUUAAAAUUAAAUUGCGUAAUUUAAUAUAGAAUUAAAUCAAAAUGUAAUUCUCGUAACGUUAUCAGAAUAUGCAUUGAAAACGCUUAUUGUGCGAGAAAAUAGGAAAGGAUUGAAUUUUCAUGUCGACACAUCCUUUACAAUAUCAUCAUCAUCAUUAUUAUUAUUAACAAGAGUUGCAUAUAAAACAUGCUUAAUACGCGUUAACUAAAACCCUAAUCUAUCGCUAUCCCCAAAUCAUCUCAACAUUUUUCUAUUCUUCAAUAAAUCGUUAUUAGUGUAACAAAAAAAGAAAGGAAAACAGUGAAAAUGACAUAAGCAUAGAUCGACCUCCCUCUGUGUGCAAUACUGCUAAAUAACACUCUCUCCUUCCAAAUCUUGCCAAUCGCGAGAUCAGCGAGUGACGUCCGCUCGAGAGCUCGCGCGAUUUCUAUUUAGCAUCCGUAAUGCGUCCGGCGGAAUGCGGUUUUGCGGAGCUGGACAACGCGAAAAAUAGAUUCCCUCCGGUAUGACGGAGUCUACUCAAUUAUCCAUAGUAAUACUCGUUGUUGCUCGCGAGCUCGGUUAUUUACUCCGUUUCUCUCUUUCUCUCUGCAUUCGGUCAUUAAUGUAACGACUGUUACGCGCCGUCCGGCAGUAACUGUCCGCUUGACUUUUCAAUCUAUUACCAGUCACCACCGAGGCUGGUCGAUAUUGGAUAUUAUGUCUGGCGUACGUCAGUUAUAUACGCGCGCAGGCGAGUACACGUUCGUUUACGAGCAAAACUCGUUCGCUUGUAAAACGCUGCAGCGUGGGGGAGGGAGUUCAUGUGCGCCUCCGUGCAAUCGAAAUCAUUUUUACGGGGCCUUUGUGCGCGGGGCAAUUUAUCGUCCGCCAUUUUUCAUCACCGCGGUUGCAUCGACGGUGCAACUCGCAAUUUCUCGAUUUGGCGCGAUGUCGGGAGACGCGAAGCGCAUGGAGUGCUCGUCAAAGGGCAAGAGGUCAGACGCGGGACUAAUGAGGGAGGAAAAGGAAUCAACGAAAGGGAGACAACGCUCCUGGAAGCCGUCAAUUGCUUCCUAAUGAAACUAAUAUUUUUUGUUGAGAGCGUUUGCUUCCGCGUGAUGCAUCGCUACAUCUAGACGCGACCCGGAUUACUCAGUUAAUCACCUAAUAGUCACGUGCACUUCAGCCAAGCAAGAUUCCAGUGAAAUUUCUCAACAAAAGUGAUUUUUAGAUUAAUCGAAAAUCAAUCAAUAUUUGACUGCUGAGAACAGAUCGCCGUAAACCGAUAAAAAGUAAACCAAACGUCAACUGUUUUCAGUCAAGUCGUUCCGUGACUUCAUCAGCAAUUCUCUGAUUUGAUGAGAGUUACUGAGAACUUGAGUGACUACAUGACGUGCUGAUUCAAUCAACGACCUUUUCCCUGAUUCAGUUUACGAGAGCACGAUUCUUCGUAUUCUCCAUUUGUCUCGCAUAUCUCCAAGUGAUAAAUUUUAUUAUCCACGUAUGGAUGAAUGUGGCGAACGAAUCGCGAGACUCGCGAGGACACACAUGUUGCCGUGUUCAACGGGAUACACGCAGGUAUCUCCGUUCACUAUCGGGAAUUAUCGAUGAGCGGGGAACGGCGGCAAUUUGCCGCGAUCUCUUCGUGGCAAAUUGCAAUGCAACAUGGCGGCGGUAACGGCCGACGGCCGGUCAUUGUUCUGCAAUUACUGUUCUAUCUAAUCGCUGCAUUAAUGGCUAGGAGCAAGUCGUCGAGCGUUUCUCGAUAUCUAAUCGUAAAAAGAGUCGGCGAUACGCGGCAGAGAGGAGCGAUUGCAGCGAUUCCCAUUUGUCGCGGUCCACGCGAUCAUCCACUCUUUUCUCUAACGAUUUCCGGUCGAUCUGUUUUCUAUAAUAUUAAUUGUAUAAUAAGUGAUUAUACAAUUCUGAUAAAAGGAUAACGAAAGACACAGAAGAAAGAUAAUGAAUCUUUACACAGAGACGAAGUUACGAAGGACAAAUGAAAUGAAUAUGUAAUUAUAUGUAACUGAAGCGUAAUUAAGAACAGAAUUAAAUGAAUAAAUUAUUUUAAUCCUAUUGUAGAUCCAACAAAAGCACACAGUACACAGAGCACAUAAUUAAACCAGAAUUACGGAACCUUCAUUAUUAACGAGCAUCUUCAUAAUUCUGAAUUAGAAUCAGAAUUAGAUUACGCACGAUCGCCGUCGCAAUUGCGCAUCGUUCUCGCCCGAGCGUCUCGCAGUCUUACGCAGAAUUCUUCAUGAUUCACGCUCUCGCUGGUAUUAAUAUUUGCGCCCAUUAUGCGAACGCGAACGUGCCUAAAUGCCGCGAGGCCGAGUAAGCCACGCGUGCGUGAGGAACAAAUAUUUUUGACUCUUCGCGCCGCUACACGCCGCGCGCGGUCACGAGCACUACUUGCGAAGCGAGAAGGGUUACACGAGGGCCCGAAGGACACAACGCGAGCCGUCCGAGAAUGAUUUAACUACGCCGUGCCGCGCAGGCCGUAAACCAUUCGAGGAAUCGGAUUCCCUAAUUACAAAGUCAUCCGGUCGAGUUUCUGGGCUGGGGGCGGUUCGCGGCGAGACCCCUUCGAGGAAUCCCCCGGCAACAAAACGCAAACGAGAUCUCCGCAAAUCCAAUCGCGCAAGAAAGGGACAAUGUCCUUCCUUUCGCUUCCACCGCUCGACGGCACGAUCGACGCGAGAUUUACACCCUUCCUCUCCUUUCGUUUCUCCCCCCGAGCUGGACCGAAUCGUACUAUCAAUAAUAUGAGGUAAAACGUCGUUGUACAUCACCUCUUGACCCCACCGAGGAAUCUUGGAAACGGUCUUUGAUGACCGCCGUGUUAUCGGCGAUCGACUGAUACUUGAGUCUCUCUCUCUCUCUCUCUCUUUUGCUUUUUCUCUCUUGCAUGAAGCUCGUGCCAAAGCUGGCUGACCAGUUAUCGCCGGAGAUAUACAUCCGGACGUAUCGUAAAUCAUUCCUGCCCGUAGAUAAGAUCCCACAUCACGUUCUCGUGGAUUUCGCACAGAUCGAUACGCGGCAGUGCCGACGAUAAUUAUAACCAUUGAGAGGUCCAAGAGGUCUCUAUCGGGACAUACGACGGGCGUUACCGUGGCUCGACUUCGGUAAUAGGUAGCGUCAAGCAUCGAGCAUGCAUGAUACUUAAAAUAAACAUACGUUAAGGUUGAUAAAAACAUAAUGCAAACAGCAUGUGUGAUCGAGUCUUUAGAUAGCUUCUAUCGAAUUGGAAAUUUAUAGAAAUCUUGCAGUUUAUAAAAAUUUUUAUAAUAUAAUUUUAAUAUAUCUAAUAUAAAUAAAAAAUGUAACACUAUUUCACCAAAAUAUUUCCCAAGUUUAUCCAAGAGGACUAAAGUUAUACCAUUACCAAUAAGCAUUAUCCUCAGGCAACAGAUUUAGAUAAAAAAAAACACGGUUUUGCGUCCCAUCUGACUCAUCUUAUAUACGAGUCCAUUGUUUUAGCGUCCGUUUCUUGCGUCGGAGGCAAAAAAAGUUAGAUAGAUCUUGUUUUUUCUUACGGUCUCACGUCUCGGUGUUUUUCGUUGAAAAAUCCUGGAUACGCGCGGCUGGUUUUUUGUACCACGUCCGAAAGAUGAAUGCGAGCAGCGAGAUAUACACGGGAUAGUACAGAUACAAACGUCGACGGUACAAAAGAGAGGGAAAGCCCGUACAAUACACAAAUGCAACACGGAAGCCGUCGAGUCCAACUGCCUGCACUGAUACGUCGGAAAGAGAUGCAAGCAGAUGGACGCAAUAUAUUGCCACCCAGAUUUUGAUAAUGUCGACCGAAACAAGAAUUCUUUACGGUCUACCACUAGCCGACGAAGCCGUCGGUUCUUCUCUUUUUCUCUAUCUGUUAUAAUGUAACAAGCGAGUUUAGUGCGUUUCGUUAUCUUAGUAUAGCUAUUCCAAAGAUAGAAACUCAUUGCUCUCGAUUUUCUUAUAAUGUGAUCAUAACUAAAUUGACUUUAUAAAAUUCUGUCGACAAAGUAAAGUAGAUUGCUUAUCAGACGUCGCAUUUGUUUUCUGACGCAACGAUAAUCUUCGUGACGCACGGUUACAUCAUAACGCACGCGGCCACGCGGGAUCUCGCGUAUAGCUGCAGCAUUACGACGUAACGAGAACCGGAAGGCAUCGCGGAACGAGCUCGCUCGUGCGAUUAAAUGGCAACCGAAUUUCAUAAUUAACGGCGCAUGUCCACCGCGGGAGUCACGGCCGUAAUUAAAUCCGCGUCGCGGCGGGAUACACGGACGUCGGCGCGCAUAAAUCUGCUCGCUUUGCAAUUAAAGCGCGCCGUUUCCUUCGUCGGCUCGCGGCUUUAAGUUGCACGCGCAACGCGCGCGCUGCGCCGUGCGUGGCGAAGCGUAUUCGACAAGUGCCGGCAAAAUAGUCGGAAGCAAACAGCACUUCGACCGAUCUGUCAGUGUCGGUCGGGCAAUUAAAACGGAAAUUAACUGGCUCCCGAAGCAGUCGCGCGCUGCUAGAUGAAACGCAGAUAUGAGAAACCCAUUUUCCAUUCAGUGCUGUUUUCAAUUAGACUGUCACUGGGAUGAAAGGGUUCUCGUUCAAAAAUCAUAAGCGUGACACGAGGGAUCGAUAUGAAAGAUCCGCGGACGGUUCUUCGUUCUCCAUUUUUACCGAAUCGAUGGAGGAUCGAUGGGAAACACUCGAGCGACGCGGAUCCAGCUUACAUGCCUCAUCGCGUCAUCAGACGUCAUCAUCUAGAUCUAGUGACUUUCGAUUCAGCGUGCCUAAUGCCAGGCACCCUGAAAUUCAAGAGUCAAAAAAGCCACGGCGCGACCCGUAAAUGUUUUCGCACGUGCUACGAUUUCACGAAACCGAUCGACUGACAGACAGACAGACAGACAGACAGACAGACGGACGGGAUGUUACCCGGUUGAUGCGGAGCGCCAUUGUACCUGGCGAAAUCGUCACGGCCGAUAAUCCUUACGUCGGAUCGGUUUAAGGAUUUAAUCUAUUGAGGUGCGGCGGCGCGUCGCGGUUCACUACCCUCUGUAGUUUUUUUUUCUUUUUCUUCGGCGCAAGGAGUAGAAAGAAAGAGGCGAGAGGAGGGAUGAAAGAAAAAGACACCACGCACGAUCUCGCAGAUGCGCCGCACAAAGGGGCUCAGAUUGGACGCGUAUCUUUUAUUGGCCCAGCUUCCGAGUAGAGAAAGAUAGACCGAAACAGACAGAAAGGAAGAGAGAGAGGGGGGGAGAGAGGAAGAAAAGAGGUGAAAAGGAAGAGACACGGCAACGAUGCACGAUGAAAUCCUUUGACGAGGCGCGUCUUUGUCGCGCGGCUGGUCGCUCGCGCGCGGAUCUCGGCUGAUUUUGGUAAAGCGAGGAAGCAACGUCGUGGUAACCCAGUUUCGUUCGCGGACGAGCGUGCCGGAGGGCGUCAAGCAACGACGAUGAAGAGGACGAGGGCCUUUGUUGGGAAAUUCUGCUCGUGGUGUGGAAUUGGACGAGCUUGCGGAUGGCUCGUCGAAGUUCACGUUAUAAUGUGUUAUCAGCAAACCAGAUUAUCCCGCGUUUGAGAAACUGGCGAUAACGUUUGCUCGGUACUCGUGAACGAGGAACUAUCACGAGUAACGUUGAGACGCUUAGCGUCGAAAAUUGAUGUUAGAAAUUUGCAGAAGUCUGAAUUUUUAUAUAUUUUUCGAUCUUGUCUUUUCUAUUAAGUCGUUAACUAAAUAACCUAGACCGCGUAACUUUAAUAAAAUUAAUGAUAGAAGAAUCACAAAUUUAACAAAUAAUUAUUUUCUUGAUAAUACAACAUUAUUCGCGAAGCAACUUCGAGAAAAAAUACAGACAUAAAUUGAAGAACACAAGAGCACUUUAAAAUUCUUUCGUUUACAGAUAAAUCACUUGAGCACGGUUUCAUCGUCCACGUACGCAGCCAUUGGCGUAAUAUACUCAUGUCUCAAGAGAUUAAUUGCAAAGAUUAUAUCAUUGGAUUAAGAGGAGCAUGCAACAUCAAAGCUGAUAAAUCAAGUAUCCGAAAUUCAUCGUGCAAUUCGUUAUCGCUGCCACUUGUAGCCAUCAAGUUACGAUUCUAUCUGAAUUUUCUGACGUUACGCCAACCCCUUGAAUGAGAAUGGCCUUGUCAUCGUGGAUAUGUCGUUGCCGGUAUCGUCGGAAGUUCCUCGUAAACCGAACCGUUUUCCCAUCGUUAUGCCGCGUCCAAGAGAGAUACCGGGUCCGACCGAGCACCGGUAUUUCGCGGUAAGCCUGCAGUGAGCCGAAUGUCUAUUUCGGUAAGUCGGUGGACGCAGUCGGUAGAUAAGACGGGGCAAGGGGGAUGAAUUGCGAUCUGCGCGCGAACUUUCUCACAGAUAUGCAGCGGUAGAGCGGUGACUAUCGGAGCCGCGGCGUUAUCGUUUCGCUGAUAGCUGGCACUAGACGUGGGUUACGCAACACUUAGGGUCAACGUAUCCGCGGCUGACUUUAUGCAAUUGCAUGUCGUACGCUAUGAAUAGCACUCCCAGCGACAGCCGUAAACCAACUUUACCGUGAACAAGUCGAUGCACUCGCCGCGGCUUCGUAUAGAUAGAGAGGCGCUUAGAAAAUUCUAUUUUUGCGUCGCGCCGUGCCUGCUUGUAAGCCACUCGAUCGAUCGAUCGAUUGCACAAUGCGAGAUGAUAUCUGCGAUAAAAGUUGUGAUUCUUAUCAUCGUAAGAAUGUGUAUGUGCGCGCGCGAUCGGUUAAGCAUAAGUAAUCUUAACUCGGAUGGAAAAAAUAUAUUUUCUCGCUUUGCUCGAUCUAUUCAUAUUUUAAUGCAAUUUUGUAUUUCACAAUUUAAUGUAGCGCUUAAUACGUUUGGCAUAUAUUACCUUGGCGCACUCGUUUGACUUUCUUGUGUCGCGACGAAGGUAAAUUCGUAGACUUGGAAUCAACAUUGUAUAUUAUUCAUUUAUUCGUUUGCGUCGGCAAAGUGUGGAAAAUUCACUUUAUGUUUGUCGAAAGUGAGGAAAAUUAUGUGUUUCCGCAGAUAUACAAUAUAAAAAAAGAAGAAAAAGGGCGAGUUACAUAAAGUAUAAUGCGGAAUGCAAUUGUAUUAAAAAUAUGACAGUCCACCCGAUUCGUCUCUAAACCUGUAUUGAAGGAAUAAACAAAUACAUUCAGAGAUCGCAAAUCGCGACGGGGAAAAAA